rnacentral:rRNA from 1 species
CCUACGGGAGGCAGCAGUGAGGAAUAUUGGUCAAUGGGCGCGAGCCUGAACCAGCCAAGUCGCGUGAGGGAAGACGGUCCUAUGGAUUGUAAACCUCUUUUGUCGGGGAGCAAAAGACGCCACGCGUGGCGUUCCGAGAGUACCCGAAGAAAAAGCAUCGGCUAACUCCGUGCCAGCAGCCGCGGUCAUACGGAGGAUGCGAGCGUUAUCCGGAUUUAUUGGGUUUAAAGGGUGCGCAGGCGGAAGAUCAAGUCAGCGGUAAAAGUGAGAGGCUCAACCUCUUCGAGCCGUUGAAACUGGUUUUCUUGAGUGAGUGAGAAGUAUGCGGAAUGCGUGGUGUAGCGGUGAAAUGCAUAGAUAUCACGCAGAACUCCGAUUGCGAAGGCAGCAUACCGGCGCUCAACUGACGCUCAUGCACGAAAGUGUGGGUAUCGAACAGGAUUAGAUACCCCUGUAGUC